UUUUAUCAUAAACAAAACAAGUUACUCGUAGUUUUAAGUGUUGGAUCCUUGGAAGUACUUCGAUUCUGAUUCUGUGACUGUAGCUUCUUUAAUGUCUUAGUGAAUUUCUCCAGGAGGAGGCUGUGGGAAACUGUAUCCAAAGCCUUGGACAAAUCCAGGUAGACAAUGUCCACUGCUUGCCCCACAUCAACCAAGCAGGUUACUUGGUCGUAGAAGAUGAUCAGGUUUGUCAAGCGCGAUUUACCCUUGGUGAAUCUGUGCUGGCUUUUCCCAAUCAUGUGCUUCAUUUGAGUUGUAGUAGCCCCCAGGAGGAUUUGUUCCAUAACUUUAACAGCGACUGAAGUAAGGCUGGCCUUAAUGUACUUGGAUUUCUUCCUAGUGUAAAUUUAGCUCUGGAUGCUCUUGUUUCAUAGAGCUUAGUUUUAGGAUAACAAGAGCUUCUCUAUUUCACCCUGCUCUCUAUUUUAGAGAUGAGUGCUAUCGUCCUCUUAGUUGUGUUGACUUGAAUUGGUUUCUUUGGAAUAUGGCUCUGUCUAGGUCAGACGACUUUUCCUUGGUGCUGUGGGAUUUGGGAUUAGCACUUUUAUGAAAAGCAUGGGUUUGAUUUACACCAUCCCCUUUGCCAGGUUUUUCGCUCUUUCACCUUUAGUUUUUACCAUGAUAUUCAUUUAGGAAUAUUUAAUAAGAGCUCUUUGAAUGGAAUCAAACUCUUAACUUGUCAAAGGAACAAGUUUUCCUUUCAAAGCUUUCACAAAGCACCUAAAUGCAGUCUUCUAGUUCUCUGAUUCUCAGCUCUGCUAUUGUAUAGAGUUUGGAUGUUUUGAAAGCUUUCAGAAACCUGAUGUACACAAAUUUACUUAGCCUAUGCUACACACUGCAAUUUAACAAUAUCAAACUCAAAAGAAGCUUUUCUUCCUAAGAUUUGUUGUUAUUCAAAUGGACAGAAUAACAAAUAAGAUCUCUAAACCUUGGAAGUAAAGAGCCCAAAAUGUAUUUACCGUGCUGCCUUAGGAAAAAUAAUUGCAGAAAUGUGUAAGGAGCAUUUCUAUUUCUGUAGUACUUCAGAACACUCAUCUUCUUUUUUGUUUCUUUGCCUUGAGCACUGACCAGUCUUUACUGAAAUUUUUUCUUCUCUAAAUGUUGAUUAGAUAAUUUUGUUUGUUAAGUUUAAGAUUUGGGUUUUGGGGUUGUUGUUGAGGUUUUUUUGGUUGGUUGGUCUUAAUGGUUUGAUGGGGUUGGUUUUUUUUUUUUCAUUGUCAAUUUUAUACAUUUCUGGUUAUUAAUAGCAAUUUCUGCCAGUUGUGAGACCAGAUACUACUUUGAUCUCUAUUACAUUUUUCCAUUGCCUGUGAAUAACUUCUGGAUUAUUGUACCAAAACAGCCUUUUUACACUGUAUACUGCAUGCGAUAAUAAGCCAGGAUUUCGAGUGGUAAGAAUGAGUGGAUGGAGAAUGUUAUAUGAUGUAAUUUCUCAUUUGUCGGUUCUGUUCUGUUGGUAGGGUAGCCAUGUUGCUGUUGUAACUGUUUUAAUAUAGUUUUUCUGGAUUAUCUUUGAUUUUAAUGUGUAAUCUAGUCUGUAAGCAAGCCAAAAAUUUUUAGCUAGCUGGAUUAUUCCAGCAACCAAAAGCUCCCAUUGCUUUAUCUCUUGUACUGUAACUUCAAGAGCAGUCUUUCAUAUUUGGGCUGUUUUCUUCUGAAAGUGAAGCCAUGUUUAAAUUUUUAAAGGCACUCACAAGUGUGAAAUCUGUGGGGUCUCUGAAUGUGUAGACAAAAUAUUUAAGACUAUUUUUUCCAGGCUGAACAGAUGAAUCUGAAAGAAUGUUAAUGUUGUGUAAGGAAAAUACACUGAGUAGGAAGUGGGAGAGGCAGAUAAUCGUAAUUUUAC